GGGGGGGGUGCCUAAUACAUGCAGUCGAACGAGUUCUGAUUAUUGAAAGGUGCUUGCAUCUUGAUUUAAUUUUGAACGAGUGGCGGACGGGUGAGUAACACGUGGGUAACCUGCCCUUAAGUGGGGGAUAACAUUUGGAAACAGAUGCUAAUACCGCAUAAAUCCAAGAACCGCAUGGUUCUUGGCUGAAAGAUGGCGUAAGCUAUCGCUUUUGGAUGGACCCGCGGCGUAUUAGCUAGUUGGUGAGGUAACGGCUCACCAAGGCAAUGAUACGUAGCCGAACUGAGAGGUUGAUCGGCCACAUUGGGACUGAGACACGGCCCAAACUCCUACGGGAGGCAGCAGUAGGGAAUCUUCCACAAUGGACGCAAGUCUGAUGGAGCAACGCCGCGUGAGUGAAGAAGGCUUUCGGGUCGUAAAACUCUGUUGUUGGAGAAGAAUGGUCGGCAGAGUAACUGUUGUCGGCGUGACGGUAUCCAACCAGAAAGCCACGGCUAACUACGUGCCAGCAGCCGCGGUAAUACGUAGGUGGCAAGCGUUAUCCGGAUUUAUUGGGCGUAAAGCGAGCGCAGGCGGUUUUUUAAGUCUGAUGUGAAAGCCCUCGGCUUAACCGAGGAAGUGCAUCGGAAACUGGGAAACUUGAGUGCAGAAGAGGACAGUGGAACUCCAUGUGUAGCGGUGAAAUGCGUAGAUAUAUGGAAGAACACCAGUGGCGAAGGCGGCUGUCUGGUCUGUAACUGACGCUGAGGCUCGAAAGCAUGGGUAGCGAACAGGAUUAGAUACCCUGGUAGUCCAUGCCGUAAACGAUGAAUGCUAGGUGUUGGAGGGUUUCCGCCCUUCAGUGCCGCAGCUAACGCAUUAAGCAUUCCGCCUGGGGAGUACGACCGCAAGGUUGAAACUCAAAGGAAUUGACGGGGGCCCGCACAAGCGGUGGAGCAUGUGGUUUAAUUGGAAGCAACGCGAAGAACCUUACCAGGUCUUGACAUCUUUUGAUCACCUGAGAGAUCAGGUUUCCCCUUCGGGGGCAAAAUGACAGGUGGUGCAUGGUUGUCGUCAGCUCGUGUCGUGAGAUGUUGGGUUAAGUCCCGCAACGAGCGCAACCCUUAUGACUAGUUGCCAGCAUUUAGUUGGGCACUCUAGUAAGACUGCCGGUGACAAACCGGAGGAAGGUGGGGAUGACGUCAAAUCAUCAUGCCCCUUAUGACCUGGGCUACACACGUGCUACAAUGGAUGGUACAACGAGUUGCGAGACCGCGAGGUCAAGCUAAUCUCUUAAAGCCAUUCUCAGUUCGGACUGUAGGCUGCAACUCGCCUACACGAAGUCGGAAUCGCUAGUAAUCGCGGAUCAGCACGCCGCGGUGAAUACGUUCCCGGGCCUUGUACACACCGCCCGUCACACCAUGAGAGUUUGUAACACCCGAAGCCGGUGGCGUAACCCUUUUAGGGAGCGAGCCGUCUAAGGUGACAAAAU
rnacentral:rRNA from 1 species